GGGGGGGGGGGGGGGGGGGGGGGGGGGGGGGGGGGGGGGGGGGGGGGGGGGGGGGGGGGGGGGGGGGGGGGGGGGGGGGGGGGGGGGGGGGGGGGGGGGGGGGGGGGGGGGGGGGGGGGGGGUUAUUGUGGGUUAUUGUGGGUUAUUGUGGGUUAUUGUGGGUUAUUGUGGGUUAUUGUGGGUUAUUGUGGGUUAUUGUGGGUUAUUGUGGGUUAUUGUGGGUUAUUGUGGGUUAUUGUGGGUUAUUGUGGGUUAUUGUGGGUUAUUGUGGGUUAUUGUGGGUUAUUGUGGGUUAUUGUGGGUUAUUGUGGGUUAUUGUGGGUUAUUGUGGGUUAUUGUGGGUUAUUGUGGGUUAUUGUGGGUUAUUGUGGGUUAUUGUGGGUUAUUGUGGGUUAUUGUGGGUUAUUGUGGGUUAUUGUGGGUUAUUGUGGGUUAUUGUGGGUUAUUGUGGGUUAUUGUGGGUUAUUGUGGGUUAUUGUGGGUUAUUGUGGGUUAUUGUGGGUUAUUGUGGGUUAUUGUGGGUUAUUGUGGGUUAUUGUGGGUUAUUGUGGGUUAUUGUGGGUUAUUGUGGGUUAUUGUGGGUUAUUAUGGGUUAUUGUGGGUUAUUUUGGGUUAUUGUGGGUUAUUGUGGGAUAUUGUGGGUUCUUGUGGGGGGUUAUUGUGGGUUAUUGUGGGUUAUUGUGGGUUAUUGUGGGUUAUUGUGGGUUAUUGUGGGUUAUUGUGGGUUAUUGUGGGUUAUUGUGGGUUAUUGUGGGUUAUUGUGGGUUAUUGUGGGUUAUUGUGGGUUAUUGUCACCUUUUGGGGGGAGCAUCUCUGUCCCUGCCCGCUCUCAGCAGGGACAGCAGAGGCACUGCACCUUCUAGCCUGGCACCCUCCAGACUGAGCCCAGCAAACCCAGAGUCCUCCUGGCUGGAAAAAUGGGAUUUGGGAGCUGUGGGUGCUCCCAGGGCUCAGCUGGUGCUGCUCUCCUGCUGUGAGGAGGAAAAAAUGGGGAAAUGGGAAAUUCGUGUCACCUAA
rnacentral:lncRNA from 1 species